rnacentral:pre_miRNA from 1 species
UUUGUAUUCCCUCCGUUCGGAAUUACUUGUCACAAAAAUGGAUGUAUCUACAACUAAAAUACAUCUAGAUACAUUCAUUUCUUGGACGAGUAAUUCCGAACGGAUGGAGUAGAUA